rnacentral:rRNA from 1 species
UACGUAGGCAGCAAGCGUUGUUCGGAAUUACUGGGCGUAAAGCGUGCGUAGGCGGUUCGUUAAGUCUGUUGUGAAAGCCCCGGGCUCAACCUGGGAAUGGCAAUGGAUACUGGCGAGCUAGAGUGUGUCAGAGGAUGGUGGAAUUCCCGGUGUAGCGGUGAAAUGCGUAGAGAUCGGGAGGAACAUCAGUGGCGAAGGCGGUUGCUGGGGCUUUGCUGACGCUGAUGCGCGAAAGCGUGGGGAGCGAUCCGG